UUAUCACGGGAGACACACGGCGGGUGCUAACGUCCGUCGUGAAGAGGGAAACAACCCAGACCGCCAGCUAAGGUCCCAAAGUCAUGGUUAAGUGGGAAACGAUGUGGGAAGGCCCAGACAGCCAGGAUGUUGGCUUAGAAGCAGCCAUCAUUUAAAGAAAGCGUAAUAGCUCACUGGUCGAGUCGGCCUGCGCGGAAGAUGUAACGGGGCUAAACCAUGCACCGAAGCUGCGGCAGCGACACUGUGUGUUGUUGGGUAGGGGAGCGUUCUGUAAGCCUGUGAAGGUGUGCUGUGAGGCAUGCUGGAGGUAUCAGAAGUGCGAAUGCUGACAUAAGUAACGAUAAAGCGGGUGAAAAGCCCGCUCGCCGGAAGACCAAGGGUUCCUGUCCAACGUUAAUCGGGGCAGGGUGAGUCGACCCCUAAGGCGAGGCCGAAAGGCGUAGUCGAUGGGAAACAGGUUAAUAUUCCUGUACUUGGUGUUACUGCGAAGGGGGGACGGAGAAGGCUAUGUUGGCCGGGCGACGGUUGUCCCGGUUUAAGCGUGUAGGCUGGUUUUCCAGGCAAAUCCGGAAAAUCAAGGCUGAGGCGUGAUGACGAGGCACUACGGUGCUGAAGCAACAAAUGCCCUGCUUCCAGGAAAAGCCUCUAAGCAUCAGGUAACAUCAAAUCGUACCCCAAACCGACACAGGUGGUCAGGUAGAGAAUACCAAGGCGCUUGAGAGAACUCGGGUGAAGGAACUAGGCAAAAUGGUGCCGUAACUUCGGGAGAAGGCACGCUGAUAUGUAGGUGAAGUCCCUCGCGGAUGGAGCUGAAAUCAGUCGAAGAUACCAGCUGGCUGCAACUGUUUAUUAAAAACACAGCACUGUGCAAACACGAAAGUGGACGUAUACGGUGUGACGCCUGCCCGGUGCCGGAAGGUUAAUUGAUGGGGUCAGCGCAAGCGAAGCUCUUGAUCGAAGCCCCGGUAAACGGCGGCCGUAACUAUAACGGUCCUAAGGUAGCGAAAUUCCUUGUCGGGUAAGUUCCGACCUGCACGAAUGGCGUAAUGAUGGCCAGGCUGUCUCCACCCGAGACUCAGUGAAAUUGAACUCGCUGUGAAGAUGCAGUGUACCCGCGGCAAGACGGAAAGACCCCGUGAACCUUUACUAUAGCUUGACACUGAACAUUGAGCCUUGAUGUGUAGGAUAGGUGGGAGGCUUUGAAGUGUGGACGCCAGUCUGCAUGGAGCCGACCUUGAAAUACCACCCUUUAAUGUUUGAUGUUCUAACGUGGACCCGUGAUCCGGGUUGCGGACAGUGUCUGGUGGGUAGUUUGACUGGGGCGGUCUCCUCCUAAAGAGUAACGGAGGAGCACGAAGGUUGGCUAAUCCUGGUCGGACAUCAGGAGGUUAGUGCAAUGGCAUAAGC
rnacentral:rRNA from 1 species